rnacentral:rRNA from 2 species
GACGUUGAUAGGCCGGGUGUGUAAGCGCAGCGAUGCGUUGAGCUAACCGGUACUAAUGAACCGUGAGGCUUAACCUUA